ACCCAGUUGACGAGUUCCAAAUAGGACUAAACGCGCAUCGUGGAU
rnacentral:hammerhead_ribozyme from 1 species